rnacentral:rRNA from 1 species
GACGUAGGGCGCGAGCGUUGUCCGGAUUUAUUGGGCGUAAAGAGCUCGUAGGCGGCUCGUUGCGUCGGCUGUGAAAACCCGCAGCUCAACUGUGGGCUUGCAGCCGAUACGGGCGGGCUAGGAUUCGGUAGGGGAGACUGGAAUUCCUGGUGUAGCGGUGAAAUGCGCAGAUAUCAGGAGGAACACCGGUGGCGAAGGCGGGUCUCUGGGACGUUACUGACACUGAGGCGCGAAAGCGUGGGGAGCGAACAGG